CGUUGUUCGGAAUCACUGGGCUUAAAGGGCGCGUAGGCGGGUGCUCAAGUCUGUGGUGAAAUCCUCCGGCUCAACCGGAGAACUGCCAUGGAUACUGGGUGCCUCGAGGGUGGUAGGGGUAUGCGGAACUAUCGGUGGAGCGGUGAAAUGCGUUGAUAUCGAUAGGAACUCCGGUGGCGAAGGCGGCAUACUGGACCACAUCUGACGCUGAGGCGCGAAAGCCAGGGGAGCAAACGGG
rnacentral:rRNA from 1 species